rnacentral:rRNA from 1 species
GACGAACGCUGGCGGCGUGCUUAACACAUGCAAGUCGAACGGUGAACCGGGCUUCGGCCCGGGGAUCAGUGGCGAACGGGUGCGUAACACGUGGGCAACCUGCCCCAGACUCUGGGAUAACUCCGGGAAACCGGGGCUAAUACCGGAUACUCCGCUCGGACGACAUCGUCUGAUCGGGAAAGCUCCGACGGUCUGGGAUGGGCCCGCGGCCUAUCAGCUUGUUGGCGAGGUAACGGCUCACCAAGGCGACGACGGGUAGCUGGUCUGAGAGGACGACCAGCCACACUGGAACUGAGAUACGGUCCAGACUCCUACGGGAGGCAGCAGUGGGGAAUCUUGCACAAUGGGCGGAAGCCUGAUGCAGCGACGCCGCGUGGGGACGAAGGC